UACGUAGGGUGCAAGCGUUGUCCGGAAUUAUUGGGCGUAAAGCGCGCGCAGGCGGUUUCUUAAAUCUGAUGUGAAAGCCCACGGCUCAACCGUGGAGGGUCAUUGGAAACUGGGAGACUUGAGUGCAGAAGAGAAGAGCGGAAUUCCACGUGUAGCGGUGAAAUGCGUAGAGAUGUGGGAGAACACCGGUGGCGAAGGCGGCCUGCUGGGCAGUUUAGCUGACACUGAGGCGCGACAGCGGUGGGGAGCAAACAGG
rnacentral:rRNA from 1 species